rnacentral:rRNA from 1 species
ACUCAAAUGAAUUGACGGGGGCCCGCACAAGCAGCGGAGCGUGUGGUUUAAUUCGAUGCGACGCGCAGAACCUUACCAGGGCUCGACACCCCGGGUUCAGCGGGUGAAAGCCCGUGCCCCGCGAGGGGGACCGGGGCAGGUGCUGCAUGGCUGUCGUCAGCUCGUGCCGUGAGGUGUUGGGUUAAGUCCCGCAACGAGCGCAACCCCCGCCGCUAGUUGGUUCUCUAGCGGGACUGCCGGGACCAACCCGGAGGAAGGUGGGGACGACGUCAAGUCAGCACGGCCCUCACGCCCUGGGCCACACACACGCUACAAUGGCCGGUACAGCGGGAGCUGCCAAGCCGCGAGGCGGAGCCGAUCCCAGCAAAGCCGGCCCCAGUCCGGAUCGGGGGCUGCAACCCGCCCCCGUGAAGCCGGAGUUGCUAGUAACCGCGGGUCAGCACACCGCGGUGAAUACGUUCCCGGGCCUUGUACACACCGCCCGU